rnacentral:rRNA from 1 species
UACGAAGGGGGCUAGCGUUGUUCGGAAUCACUGGGCGUAAAGCGCACGUAGGCGGACUGUUAAGUCAGGGGUGAAAUCCUGGGGCUCAACCCCAGAACUGCCCUUGAUACUGGCGAUCUUGAGUGUGGAAGAGGUUGGUGGAACUCCGAGUGUAGAGGUGAAAUUCGUAGAUAUUCGGAAGAACACCGGUGGCGAAGGCGGCCAACUGGUCCACUACUGACGCUGAGGUGCGAAAGCGUGGGGAGCAAACAGG